GCGUUGUUCGGAUUUACUGGGCGUAAAGGGCGCGUAGGCGGCGCGACAAGUCAGUUGUGAAAUCUCUGGGCUUAACUCAGAGCGGCCAACUGAUACUGUCGUGCUAGAGUGCGGAAGGGGCAACUGGAAUUCUCGGUGUAGCGAUGAAAUGCGUAGAUAUCGAGAGGAACACCUGCGGCGAAGGCGGGUUGCUGGGCCGACACUGACGCUGAGGCGCGAAAGCCAG
rnacentral:rRNA from 1 species